AGCGCAACCCUUGUCCUUAUUUACCAGCACGUAAUGGUGGGCACUCUAAGGAGACUGCCGGUGACAAACCGGAGGCAGGUGGGGAUGACGUCAAGUCAUCAUGGCCCUUACGGCCAGGGCUACACACGUGCUACAAUGGUUGGUACAACGGGCUGCCAAGUCGCGAGACGGAGCUAAUCCCAUAAAACCAAUCGUAGUCCGGAUCGCAGUCUGCAACUCGACUGCGUGAAGUCGGAAUCGCUAGUAAUCGUGGAUCAGAAUGCCGCGGUGAAUACGUUCCCGGGCCUUGUACACACCGCCCGU
rnacentral:rRNA from 1 species